ACAGGCUAGAAUCUCAGGUAU
rnacentral:miRNA from 12 species